rnacentral:rRNA from 1 species
AUUGAACGCUGGCGGCAGGCUUAACACAUGCAAGUCGAGCGAGCGGCGGACGGGUGAGUAAUGUCUGGGAACCUGCCUGAUGGAGGGGGAUAACUACUGGAAACGGUAGCUAAUACCGCAUACCAUCAGAUGUGCCCAUAUGGGAUUAGCUAGUAGGUGGGGUAAUGGCUCACCUAGGCGACGAUCCCUAGCUGGUCUGAGAGGAUGACCAGCCACACGGGGACUGAGACACGGUCCAGACUCCUACGGGAGGCAGCAGUGGGGAAUAUGGGACAAUGGGCGCAAGCCUGAUGCAGCCAUGCCGCGUGUAUGAAGAAGGCCUUCGGGUUGUAAAGUACUUUCAGCAGGGAGGCGUUACCGGCAGAAGAAGCACCGGCUAACUCCGUGCCAGCAGCCGCGGUAAUAC